ACUGGAGAGAAGAGAAGGUAGCCAAUAGUGUAAGUGUUACAGAGAGAUCAAGAAAAAUUCAGAGAAAAAGCCCAUCAGAUUUAGCAUUGAAGAGAUGAUUACUAGUUUUGGAGAAGGCAAUUUCAAUUUCAACAAGUGAUGAGGAUAUAACCAGUCUAUAUACCAGUGAUGGCGACCCUUUUGGAGGUGGAGGGCCAGGACCCUCCCCAUCCCCAGACUGAGACAAAGAAGGGAAGAAGCACUCCUAUUGGGCUCCUGGGCAGAGGGACGGGGGACUCCAUGGCUGACUCUUGCUGACCAUAUUUGUGAAGAUCAAAUGAAAGCAUAUUUAUCAAGAACUUAGAACAGAGCCUGGCAUACAAUUGACAUUUAAAAUACUUGUUACCUUUCUUCUCUCCUUCUGUACUUUCCAUUUUGUCCACCUAAACCAAAUGAAGCCUGUAUAUUUCAUCUGAGUCCUAUAGCAGUUGAAGUCUGGUUAAUUCAAGAUGUCUUCUCAGUUCAUUCUUUCCCUUGUGAAUAUACUCCAUGGCUAAGACUCUCUGUGAAGAUGCAAUGAGGAAGAGAGAAAGAACAUAAAUGUUGGCUGAAAUAAUGAAAAGAAUUCUUUGAAAAUCUUACAGACUCAAGAGAAUUAACUACAAUACUGCAAGGGUAAGGGCCUUACCCAGAGUCAGUCAGUCAAUAAAUCUUAAACACCUACUGUGUGCUAGAUACUAUGCUAAACACAGGAGAUACAAAGGGGGAAGGCAGUCCCAGAGAUUAAGGAGCUCCCAGUCUAAUGGAGGAUAUGAUAUGCAAAAACUAUCUACAAUCAAUAUUCAAGGUAAAUAGGAAACAAUUAACAAAGGGAAGAAACUUAAGAAGGGUUGU